UUGGAUGUGGAGGUUUUUGCAGAUAGCUUCACAGCUUUCUGCUCCUCUUAAAUGAAUUAGCGAGUUUAAACUAGGCUCCAUCUAUUGGUGUGAUAAUUAUCUACGCCGUGGGUUGGGCUUGGACUUGCUUCCAACCGUCUGAAAAGACAAUCUUUUGACUAUUUGACCUCAAAUCAGGUAGGACUACCCGCUGAACUUAA
rnacentral:misc_RNA from 1 species